UUCCAUGGUGUGUUGUUCUCACUUUAUACUGAGGCAAGACUGGGGUUUUCCACUCCUACUGGUUUUUAGACAUUUAACUCAUUUAGCUUUCUUCAAAAACCCCCAGAUUACAUCACUACACAAGGUGCAAGGCAGUGAAGCAACAACAUUCCUGUCUGGAUUAUUACAGGGAGGUGACUUCCGUCGUCAAAUUCAAAUCUGACCACCAGCUGCCCUGAAGUUUGGUACCUGUUUGGACCUAGCAUUUCUGUUAAGGUCAACCUCUGGCACUAAUAAGGAAUUUAGUUCAACCAAGAACAUUUUCUAUGUAAUAAAUCAUCUUACACUAUUAGUAAGGCAGUGCUCAGACAGACCACAUUACCAAAUUGAAAGAUUCUUUCAGAAUUUUCUUCCACUGUUUUAUUAGGUUAAGUAUGUACAGGAGAUGUCCAGCUCAAUGAAGGUGAAAACACUGUUAUCAGAAGUUACUGUAAGGAAGUCUGAAAAUGAAGUCUGAAAAUGAUUUCCUUUCAAAGGAAAAAAAAGCCAGCAUAGAAUGUGAUGGAUAUUCCAGACUGGAAACUGAAUCAAGCUGGGAUCUGUUCUCAUGCAUCAUCACCAUUAAUAAAGAACAUAGAUAUGCACAGACACACAAAAGCAACCCCCUAUUCUACAGACGAUGCCCUCGUGGACCUCGGAGCAUUCUUUCUUUCUUUCCUUUCCUUAAAAUAGUACAAAGAUUCCAUUACAUUCUAUGGGAAACAUGCUGGGAUGGAAAAGCUUAAAGAAAGAAAAUCCUGACAUCUAUGAUUCCAUGAACAGUGACUAUUGUGCCCUGGGAAGUAGGGUCAAGGAGUCAGGGGCAUGGGCUGUGUUCUUGUCCAUUAUCCAGGUAAGGAUAAAGUUUGGGGCUUCAUCUUCCUUAGUCACAGGAUGUUAUUCUAGGAAAAGUCUGCUGGGAAGAGAUUUCAGUGUUCAAGUCUUGCAGUCAAGGCAGUAUGUGAUAAUUUCAGCCUUAGUUCUUAAGGAAAAGGUAAGUUUCUAGCUCUUGUGGAUGUGCAGCACGUCCCCUCCUGUCUCCUCUGCGUGUAGGCGUUGGCAGGUGGCCCUGUGUGCUACCCGAUCUGCAGGCGCUGCCCUUGCAACUCCUACUGGGGGCAAUGUGCAAAGCCCCCUGCCUGUGCCUAUGCAUAGGAACCAGAGGAAGGACAUGCUGCUGCUUUCAGGAUCCACAUAAAGCAAGGUAAGCUUGAGAGCUUAAAGGCCAGAUUAAAAUAGCCAUGGGCUGUAGUUUGCCUACCCCAGGUACAGAAUGGGUAUGGGAGCCAGAGGUCCCAGAUGCUUGCCCUGCACCGAAGCUCCUGACUGCCAUCCCAAGUGCCAGGGGGGCUGUUGCUGGCCCUGUGUGCAGGGGUGCUGGUUUGAGCCUGUACUCUGGGGGGGCCUCUGCUGCUGGCCAUAUGCCCAGGGUCUCAGUGGGAUCCUGGUUCAAGCCCUACAUCUGGGCUCCUGGCUGCCACCCCAUAUGCCAGGGGUGCUUUUGCCAGCCCCCUGUAUUGGGGUACUGGUAUGAGCCCUGUAUGUCAGGGGUCCUGGCUGCCAGUCCUAUGUACCAGGGCUUUGUUCCUGUCCUCAGCUGGGAGUGGGAGUGGACAGGCGUAAGGGACCUCAGCAUCCCAACUUUUAAAAAUGUUUCUGCACCACUGUGGAGUAGGAAAAUCAACAGCAUCAAGACGGCUGAGGAGUUUAAUGCCUAUUUUGCUCAAAUCUUCACU